AUCCAGCCGAUGAGUUCCAAGUAGGAUGAGACGCGAGUCCUGGAU
rnacentral:hammerhead_ribozyme from 1 species